rnacentral:rRNA from 1 species
UACGGAGGGGGCUAGCGUUGUUCGGAAUUACUGGGCGUAAAGCGUACGUAGGCGGCGAUCUAAGUCAGAGGUGAAAGCCCGGGGCUCAACCCCGGAACUGCCUUUGAGACUGGAUUGCUAGAAUCGUGGAGAGGUGAGUGGAAUUCCGAGUGUAGAGGUGAAAUUCGUAGAUAUUCGGAAGAACACCAGUGGCGAAGGCGGCUCACUGGACACGUAUUUACGCUGAGGUACGAAAGCGUGGGGAGCAAACAGG